ensembl:lncRNA
AUUUUAGCAUUUUGCUAUUGAUUCUCAUUUCCCCCAGAAUGCAUUGCAUUACACGUUGGGGAGACAGUAGACACGGACCAAAGCCGCAUAAACCCUUGAGAGUAGAGACUGUUGUCUCCACAUCUCCAUCUGAGGCACCAUCCGAAUCCAGGCAGAAAUCUCAAGAGUUCUAAAGUAACAGGUUGAGAAAUUGUUCCGCAAAUUAGCGAGCAACAGGAUGACAGGCGAGUCGAGGAGACGGUGAGAGGCGUGUGAGCUGUUCCGGAGGUGGCCCAGUGGGUUUAUUCUCCUUAUGGUCGGGCUCCGUAAGAUUUCGUUCUCGAGCUAGAGACACAGAGAGAGUGGGAGUGAGGGAGGCAGAGAGAGGGAGAGCCAGAGAGAGAAACAAGGGAUAUAUGUCUUGCUGUGGCCGCUUUAAAGUGCAGAACAGAAACGCAUGUGCAAGGGUCUUGUUGCCACCCACCCACGUAACAUGAGGAGGGAUGUGACACUCUAUGGCAAACAUUCAUUCCGGAGGAGGAUCAGUGCGCUUGAGCUUAUUGGAUAUGAUGAGGGUUUGCAGCAAAAGUAAAUCAGGUUUAUAUAUACAUAUGCAAUAAAUAAAAUAUGAUGGUAUAAAAUUUGUGACAAAUAU